rnacentral:rRNA from 1 species
UACUGCCUACGGGGCGCAGCAGUGGGGGAUAUUGCACAAUGGGGGAAACCCUGAUGCAGCGACGCCGCGUGAGUGAAGAAGUAUUUCGGUACGUAAAGCUCUAUCAGCAGGGAAGAAUAAUGACGGUACCUGACUAAGAAGCCCCGGCUAACUACGUGCCAGCAGCCGCGGUAAUACGUAGGGGGCAAGCGUUAUCCGGAUUUACUGGGUGUAAAGGGAGCGUAGACGGCAGGGCAAGUCUGAUGUGAAAGCCCGGGGCUCAACCCCGGGACUGCAUUGGACACUGUCAGGCUAGAGUGCAGGAG